UUGACCCCCAUCCUGCGUAAAGCAGUAA
rnacentral:rRNA from 1 species